GGGCCCGCACAAGCGGUGGAGCAUGUGGUUUAAUUCGAUGCUACGCGAAGGACCUUACCUGGGUUUGACAUGCUAGUAGUAAAAGCCGGAAACGGCAAUGAUCCCAGUUUACUGGGAAGCUAGCACAGGUGCUGCAUGGCUGUCGUCAGCUCGUGUCGUGAGAUGUUGGGUUAAGUCCCGCAACGAGCGCAACCCUCAUUGCUAGUUGAUACCAUUAAGUUGAUCACUCUAGCGAAACUGCCUCGGAUAACGGGGAGGAAGGUGGGGAUGAGGUCAAGUCAUCAUGGCCCUUAUGCCCAGGGCAACACACGUGCUACAAUGCUGCGUACAAAGGGAAGCAAUACCGCAAGGUGGAGCAAAUCUCAAAAAGCGCAGCCUAAUUCGGAUUGCAGGCUGCAACUCGCCUGCAUGAAGCCGGAAUCGCUAGUAACUGCAGAUCAGACGCGCUGCGGUGAAUACGUUCUCGGGCCUU
rnacentral:rRNA from 1 species